rnacentral:rRNA from 1 species
AUGGAAGCUAUUGUGAAGGCAAGAAAAGAAGCCAACAAGGUGAGGAAAAUGGCAAGGACCCAAGAUGCCGCGACCGAGGAGAGGAGGGUGGCGGCCGAGGAGAGAAAGGUGGCUUUGGAGGAGAGGAAGGUGAGCAAUGAGGAGCGAACAAGAUUGUUGGAAUGGGAGAAGAACUUGUUCUUCUUGAACACAACUAACCUCAAUGUGGCACAAAAAGAGUAUGCCAAUCUUGCCCAACAAGAAGUCUUGCUCCAAAAAAGAGCCAUGGUUCGUGCAAUGGGUGGCGGUGGCCUCGGCGCCAUGGGUGGCGGUGGCCUCGGCGCCAUGGGUGGCAUGGGUGGCUUCGGAGGUACCGUGGGAGGUUUAGGUGCAAUGGGAGGCAUGGCUGGCUUUGGAGCACCCCCCAACGCUAUGACCACCAUGGGAGGCAUGUAUUUUGCUUCUCUCAUGGGAGGCAUGGGUGCACAUCCGGCCGCCAUGGGCAGAAUGUCUUUCGAUGUGCCUCCUCGCACACAUUCUCAUGAAGAUGCCGUUGAAGAUCUUGCCAACAUCGUCGGAGCUUCACGUGAUGCGGUGCGCGAUCAGGAGAGGGAGGAAGAUUCAUCCUCGGAGGCGGAAGAAUCGUCUUCCGAAGAUGAGGACGAGGACGAGGAAUGA